CUAGUGGUAAUCUCGCACUUGGAGCACCCGUACGAGUACCUGGUUACUCUGGUUUGUUUGCUUCGGGAAGGUCUGAGAUAAGGCACGCAAAUAUGCCUCAGCAAGGCAACUCUUUGAAAAGGGUGUUCGCUACCAGCAAUUCAUCAGUUGUGGAUGCCGCGGUGUUCUGCUUUAACCAAGGAGGAUUAUGCUUCGUAGCUCACUAAAAAUGCGUCCCCGGACGUAUGCGCGGUGUGGUUUGGUGCGUAGUUCUUUCUAGUUUCGGUGGACACUGAUUGAAAACAGCGGAUUGCCAGCCAUUUGAGUCAAAUAUGCGAGCUACUAUCGGGGAGUGUCGGUUGCCAGCAAUUGGUGCUCUCUGGGGUAGAACUCAAUUCAGACUAAUCUAUCACUAG
rnacentral:RNase_P_RNA from 1 species